GGAUUGUUAGUUUAUAACUAGAAUUCUGUUUUUGUAAAGCAGGGGAAUCUUUAAUGGUACAGUCCA
rnacentral:tRNA from 1 species